ensembl:lncRNA
GUUCUUUUUAAUCCCUAUCAUUUUAAUUGUUUAUUCUUUCAAUGAUGUCAUAUAGCUGCAAAUAAUGGAAUUUCAUGGUAUCCCUGGUAGCAGACCACCAAAGUACAAAUGGAAAUGAGGAGACAUGUCAGGAGUAAGAAGACUACAACCUGUAACCAGUGAAAAAUGACUCAACAGGAAAGUUGUGAAAAAUAACAUAUGAGAAAUGCAAGAGCAGAAAAGGAAGUGAGCCCACGAUAUAGAGAACUGAUGGAUUUUAUUGACAACAUGCACUCCUGAUAUCAAGAGAUCUAGAAGAAAGCCUUCAUAAUGUUGGGAAGACCACAUAGAGGGAUAGGAGACGCAGACAAGAACUACACAGGAUAAGGAGGGCAGAAAGAAGAAGCCCAGUUGAAGAAGUCUGCUAAUGCUGGAAACAGAAAAAGCUCUCCAACUACACAUCCAGCCAAGCCAUGUCUAUCCGUGAGCACUUGUCCAGCGAAACCCCACCUGGCAGCCAAGAUAACCAGCAAAACCAGCGGAAGAAAAGAAACCUCACUAUACAAAGUAGAUGGAUCUGUAGCAAUGGAGGCAGGAAUUUCCUCUCCACACACAUUCCUUAUUGUUGCCCCUGGUUUUAUUUUGAAGAGUUAAAACCAUUAUUCUGA